rnacentral:rRNA from 1 species
GACGAACGCUGGCGGCGUGCUUAACACAUGCAAGUCGAACGGAAAGGCCCUGCUUUUGUGGGGUGCUCGAGUGGCGAACGGGUGAGUAACACGUGAGUAACCUGCCCUUGACUUUGGGAUAACUUCAGGAAACUGGGGCUAAUACCGGAUAGGAGCUCCUGCUGCAUGGCGGGGGUUGGAAAGUUUCGGCGGUUGGGGAUGGACUCGCGGCUUAUCAGCUUGUUGGUGGGGUAGUGGCUUACCAAGGCUUUGACGGGUAGCCGGCCUGAGAGGGUGACCGGCCACAUUGGGACUAGCAUGCGGCCCAGACUCCUACGGGCGGCAGCAGUGGGGAAUAUUGCACAAUGGGCGGAAGCCUGAUGCAGCAACGCCGCGUGCGGGAUGACGGCCUUCGGGUUGUAAACCGCUUUCGCCUGUGACGAAGCGUGAGUGACGGUAAUGGGUAAAGAAGCACCGGCUAACUACGUG